GGGUGGGGAGCACUGGGACUGGAGCUGGGGUGUUGUCUGUCUCCACUCAAUGGGAGGGGUGCGGAGCACUGGGACUGGAGCUGGGGUGUUGUCUGUCUCCACUCGAUGGGAGGGGAGGGGAGCACUGGGACUGGAGCUGGGGUGCUGUCUGUCUCCACUCAACUGGAGGUGUGGGGAGCACUGGGACUGGAGGUGGGGUGUUGUCUGUCUCCACUCAAUGGGAGGGGUGGGGAGCACUGGGACUGGAGCUGCGGUGUUGUCAGUCUCCAUGCAAUGGGACGUGUGGGGAGCACUGGGACUGGAGCUGGGGUGUUGUCUGAUUUCACUCAAUGGGAGGGGGCAUUCGCACUGGGACUGGAGCUGGGGUGUUGUCAGUCUCCAUGCAAUGGGAGGGGUGAGGACCACUGAGAUUGGAACUGGGGUGUUGUCUGUCUCCACUCGAUGGGAGGGGUGCGGAGCACUGGGACUGGAGCUGGGGUGUUGUCUGUCUCCACUCGAUGGGAGGUGUGGGGAGCACUGGGACUGGAGCUGGGGUGUUGUCUGAUUUUAUUCAAUGGGAGGGGUGGUUAUCACUGAGACCGGAGCUGGGGUAUUGUCUUUCUCCACUCAACGGGACGUGUGGGGAGCACUGGGACUGGAGCUGGGGUGUUGUCUGAUUUCACUCAAUGGGAGGGGGCAUUCGCACUGGGACUGGAGCUGGGGUGUUGUCUGUUUUCUCUCAAUGGGAGGGGUGGGGAGUACUGGGACCGGAGCUGGGGUGUUGUCUGUCUCCAUGCAAUGGGAGGGGUGAGGACCACUGAGAUUGGAACUGGGGUGUUGUCUGUCUCCACUCGAUGGGAGGGGUGGGGAGCACUGGGACUGGAGGUGUGGUGUUGUCUGUCUCCACUCAAUGGGAGGUGUCGGAGCACUGGGACUGGAGCUGGGGUGUUGUCUGUCUCCAAUCAAUGGGAGGGGUGGGGAGCACUGGGACUGGAGCUGGGUUGCUGUCUGCCUCCACUGAAUGGCAGGGGUGGGGAGCACUGGGACUGGAGCUGGGGUGUUGUCUGUCUCCACUCAACGGGAGGGGUGGGGAGCACUGGGACUGGAGCUGGGGUGUUGUCUGAUUUCACUCAAUGGGAGGGGGCAUUCGCACUGGGACUGGAGCUGGGGUGUUGUCUGUUUUCUCUCAAUGGGAGGGGUGGGGAGUACUGGGACCGGAGCUGGGGUGUUGUCUGUCUCCGUUCAAUGGGAGGGGUGGGGAGCACUGUGACCGGGGCUGGGGUGUUGUCUGUCUCCGUUCAAUGGGAGGGGUGGGGAGCACUGGGACUGGAGCUGGGGUGUUGUCUGUCUCCACUCGAUGGGAGGGGUGCGGAACACUGGGACUGGAGCUGGGGUGUUGUCUGUCUCCACUCGAUGGGAGGGGUGGGGAGCACUGGGACUGGAGCUGGGGUGUUGUCUGUCUCCACUCAAUGGGAGGGGUGGGGAGUACUGGGACUGGAGCUGGGUUGUUGUCUGUCUCCACUCGAUGGGAGGUGUGGGGAGCACUGGGACUGGAGCUGGGGUGUUGUCUGAUUUUAUUCAAUGGGAGGGGUGGUUAUCACUGAGACCGGAGCUGGGGUAUUGUCUUUCUCCACUCAACGGGACGUGUGGGGAGCACUGGGACUGGAGCUGGGGUGUUGUCUGAUUUCACUCAAUGGGAGGGGGCAUUCGCACUGGGACUGGAGCUGGGGUGUUGUCUGUUUUCUCUCAAUGGGAGGGGUGGGGAGUACUGGGACCGGAGCUGGGGUGUUGUCUGUCUCCAUGCAAUGGGAGGGGUGAGGACCACUGAGAUUGGAACUGGGGUGUUGUCUGUCUCCACUCGAUGGGAGGGGUGGGGAGCACUGGGACUGGAGGUGUGGUGUUGUCUUUCUCCACUCAACGGGAGGGGUGGGGAGCACUGGGACUGGAGCUGGGGUGUUGUCUGAUUUCACUCAAUGGGAGGGGGCAUUCGCACUGGGACUGGAGCUGGGGUGUUGUCUGUUUUCUCUCAAUGGGAGGGGUGGGGAGUACUGGGACCGGAGCUGGGGUGUUGUCUGUCUCCGUUCAAUGGGAGGGGUGGGGAGCACUGUGACCGGGGCUGGGGUGUUGUCUGUCUCCGUUCAAUGGGAGGGGUGGGGAGCACUGGGACUGGAGCUGGGGUGUUGUCUGUCUCCACUCGAUGGGAGGGGUGCGGAACACUGGGACUGGAGCUGGGGUGUUGUCUGUCUCCACUCGAUGGGAGGGGUGGGGAGCACUGGGACUGGAGCUGGGGUGUUGUCUGUCUCCACUCAAUGGGAGGGGUGGGGAGUACUGGGACUGGAGCUGGGUUGUUGUCUGUCUCCACUCGAUGGGAGGUGUGGGGAGCACUGGGACUGGAGCUGGGGUGUUGUCUGAUUUUAUUCAAUGGGAGGGGUGGUUAUCACUGAGACCGGAGCUGGGGUAUUGUCUUUCUCCACUCAACGGGACGUGUGGGGAGCACUGGGACUGGAGCUGGGGUGUUGUCUGAUUUCACUCAAUGGGAGGGGGCAUUCGCACUGGGACUGGAGCUGGGGUGUUGUCUGUUUUCUCUCAAUGGGAGGGGUGGGGAGUACUGGGACCGGAGCUGGGGUGUUGUCUGUCUCCAUGCAAUGGGAGGGGUGAGGACCACUGAGAUUGGAACUGGGGUGUUGUCUGUCUCCACUCGAUGGGAGGGGUGGGGAGCACUGGGACUGGAGGUGUGGUGUUGUCUUUCUCCACUCAACGGGAGGGGUGGGGAGCACUGGGACUGGAGCUGGGGUGUUGUCUGAUUUCACUCAAUGGGAGGGGGCAUUCGCACUGGGACUGGAGCUGGGGUGUUGUCUGUUUUCUCUCAAUGGGAGGGGUGGGGAGUACUGGGACCGGAGCUGGGGUGUUGUCUGUCUCCGUUCAAUGGGAGGGGUGGGGAGCACUGUGACCGGGGCUGGGGUGUUGUCUGUCUCCGUUCAAUGGGAGGGGUGGGGAGCACUGGGACUGGAGCUGGGGUGUUGUCUGUCUCCACUCGAUGGGAGGGGUGCGGAACACUGGGACUGGAGCUGGGGUGUUGUCUGUCUCCACUCGAUGGGAGGGGUGGGGAGCACUGGGACUGGAGCUGGGGUGUUGUCUGUCUCCACUCGAAUGGGAGGGGUGGGGAGCUCUGGGACUGGAGGUGGGGUGUUGUCUGUCUGCACUCAAUGGGAGGGGUGGGGACACUGGGACUGGAACUGGGGUGUUGUCUGUCUUCACUCAUUGGGAGGGGUGCGGAACACUGGGACUUGUGGUGAACUCUGUGCCUGUCUGGACACGCCCCCUGCUGACUGCUCCUGUGGCUCCUCCCACAGGCCCCUGUAUAAAGGAGAUCUGCGGCCUGACGCUCGGCCUCAGUCUCCAGGACAUUGUAUGAUAGACACUCACUCCUGGUUCCUUCUUUCAGUCAAUAAAAGCCGAUAUCUCGC